UGCGCAGGCGGACAUUUAAGUCAGGGGUGAAAUCCUACAGCUUAACUGUAGAACUGCCCUUGAUACUGAAUGCCUAGAGUAAAGCUGAAGUGGGCGGAAUGUGUUGUGUAGCGGUGAAAUGCUUAGAUAUAACACAGAACACCAAUCGCGAAGGCAGCCCACUAAACUUUAACUGACGCUCAUGCACGAAAGCGUGGGGAGCAAACAGGAUUAGAUACCCUGGUAGUCCACGCCCUAAACGAUGAUCACUCGCUGUUGGCGAUAUAUUGUCAGUGGCUAAGCAAAAGUGAUAAGUGAUCCACCUGGGGAGUACGACCGCAAGGUUGAAACUCAAAGGAAUUGACGGGGGCCCGCACAAGCGGAGGAGCAUGUGGUUUAAUUCGAUGAUACGCGAGGAACCUUACCAGGGCUCGAACGCAGGAGGAAUACUCCCGAAAGGAAGUAGCCAGAAAUGGCCGCCUGCGAGGUGCUGCAUGGUUGUCGUCAGCUCGUGCCGUGAGGUGUCAGGUUAAGUCCUAUAACGAGCGCAACCCCUAUUCAUAGUUGCCAGCAUAUUACGGUGGGGACUCUAUGAAAACUGCCUGCGCAAGCAGUGAGGAAGGUGGGGAUGACGUCAAAUCAGCACGGCCCUUAUGUCCUGGGCUACACACGUGCUACAAUGGCCGGUACAGAAGGCCGCAACCACGCAAGUGGAAGCUAAUCCCUAAAACCGGUCUCAGUUCGGAUUGGAGUCUGCAACCCGACUCCAUGAAGCCGGAUUCGCUAGUUAAUCGCACAUCAGCCAUGGCGCGGUGAAUACGUUCCCGGGGCCUUGUACACACCGCCCGUCAAGCCAUGGGAAGCU
rnacentral:rRNA from 1 species